UACAGAGGGUGCGAGCGUUAAUCGGAAUUACUGGGCGUAAAGCGUGCGUAGACGGCUAUCUAAGUCGGGUGUGAAAGCCCCGGGCUCAACCUGGGAAUUGCAUUCGAGACUGAAUAGCUAGGGUACGGUAGAGGGAAGCGGAAUUUCCGGUGUAGCGGUGAAAUGCGUAGAUAUCGGGAGGAACACCGGUGGCGAAGGCGGUUCUCUGGGCCUGACCUGACGCUGAGGAGCGAAAGCGUGGGGAGCGAACAGG
rnacentral:rRNA from 1 species